GAGUUUGAUCCUGGCUCAGGACGAACGCUGGCGGUGCGCCUAAUGCAUGCAAGUCGAACGAGCGAAGGGGCUUCGGCCCCCUAGCUAGUGGCAGACGGCUGAGUAACACGUAAGUGAUCUGCCCCGGAGAGGGGGAUAAGCCGGAGAAAUCCGGUCUAAUACCCCGUACGCUCUCUAAGUUACGACGUAGAGAGGAAAGGUUCCGGCGCUCUGGGAGGAGCUUGCGGCCUAUCAUGGUAGUUGGUGGGGUAAAAGCCUACCAAGCCGAAGACGGGUAACCGGUGUGAGAGCACGAUCGGUCAGAGGGGGACUGAGACACGGCCCCCACUCCUACGGGAGGCAGCAGCAGGGAAUCUUGCGCAAUGGGCGAAAGCCUGACGCAGCGACACCGCGUGGGGGAUGAAGGCUCUCGAGUUGUAAACCCCUUUUCCCGGGGAAGAGAAAGGACGGUACCCGGGGAAUAAGCUCCGGCUAACUACGUGCCAGCAGCCGCGGUAAUACGUAGGGAGCGAGCGUUACCCGGAAUUACUGGGCGUAAAGAGCACGUAGGCGGCUAGGUAAGUCUCUUGUGAAAGCUCCCGGCUCAACUGGGAGAGGUCAAGAGAUACUACUUGGCUUGAGGGCAGUAGAGGAAAGCGGAAUUCCCGGUGUAGCGGUGAAAUGCGUAGAUAUCGGGAGGAACACAGUGGCGAAAGCGGCUUUCUGGGCUGUGCCUGACGCUGAGGUGCGAGAGCGUGGGGAGCAAACUGGAUUAGAUACCCUGGUAGUC
rnacentral:rRNA from 1 species